GGCCCACCUACCACGCUAAGUCAGGGGUAGGGCCGCCUUCCUGGAGGCGUUCGAUAAUACACAGGUUAGUAGUUAUGCUUCAGUUAUCCAGAGCCAAUACUCACAGCGAUCCUCUCGAUGAUUAGUUUACAAACUGCUUCGUUUCCUUCCUCCUUGGUUACUCCAAGCGUGUCACAAUCACCGUUGUUUUCUUCUACCCACAGGGUUUCCUCUACGGUAACAUCCACUGAGAAACACUACGCUCUGGGCAGCACACUCUCUCUUCGGGGUGCUCCUUUUCUCCUUCCACGUAUCGCCUUUCUUUCGCCCCAGGCAGCUCCUGUCUUCUCUCCGCGCGCUCCAAGCGCAGCCCGGAUCAACAGAGCCUGCGGGCUCUUCAAAAGUAAAGAGGUGGGACAUGAGGAUGCUGACAGGACAGGAGGAGGUGACAUACAGAACUGUGGGCUGCUGAUAUAUUUAUGUCUAAAGAGGACCUGAGAAGAAAA